GAUGAAGAACGCAGCGAAAUGCGAUACGUAAUGUGAAUUGCAAAUUCAGUGAAUCAUCGAGUCUUUGAACGCACAUUGCGCCCCCUGGUAUUCCGGGGGGCAUGCCUGUCCGAGCGUCAUUGCUGCCUCAAGCACGGCUUGUGUGUUGGGCCCCGUCCUCCGAUCCCGGGGGACGGGCCCGAAAGGCAGCGGCGGCACCGCGUCCGGUCCUCGAGCGUAUGGGGCUUUGUCACCCGCUCUGUAGGCCCGGCCGGCGCUUGCCGAUCAACCCAAAUUUUUAUCCAGGUUGACCUCGGAUCAGGUAGGGAUACCCGCUGAACUUAAGCAUAUCAAUAAGCGGAGGA
rnacentral:misc_RNA from 1 species